rnacentral:rRNA from 1 species
AUUGAACGCUGGCGGCAUGCCUUACACAUGCAAGUCGAACGGUAACAGGUCUUCGGAUGCUGACGAGUGGCGAACGGGUGAGUAAUACAUCGGAACGUGCCCGAUCGUGGGGGAUAACGAAGCGAAAGCUUUGCUAAUACCGCAUAAGAUCUACGGAUGAAAGCAGGGGACCGCAAGGCCUUGCGCGAACGGAGCGGCCGAUGGCCGAUUAGGUAGUUGGUGGGAUAAAAGCUUACCAAGCCGACGAUCUGUAGCUGGUCUGAGAGGACGACCAGCCACAAUGGGACUGAGACACGGCCCAGACUCCUACGGGAGGCAGCAGUGGGGAAUUUUGGACAAUGGGCGAAUGCCUGAUCCAGCCAUGCCGCGUGCAGGAUGAAGGCCUUCGGGUUGUAAACUGCUUUUGUACGGAACGAAAAGACUCUUUCUAAUAAAGAGGGUCCAUGACGGUACCGUAAGAAUAAGCACCGGCUAACUACGUGCCAGCCGCCGCAGUAA